rnacentral:siRNA from 1 species
CCAUGGUUUCGAAUAGUGCAA